rnacentral:rRNA from 1 species
GAUGAACGCUGGCGGCGUGCCUAAUACAUGCAAGUCGAGCGAACAGACGAGGAGCUUGCUCCUCUGACGUUAGCGGCGGACGGGUGAGUAACACGUGGAUAACCUACCUAUAAGACUGGGAUAACUUCGGGAAACCGGAGCUAAUACCGGAUAAUAUAUUGAACCGCAUGGUUCAAUAGUGAAAGACGGUUUUGCUGUCUCUUAUAGAUGGAUCCGCGCCGCAUUAGCUAGUUGGUAAGGUAACGGCUUACCAAGGCGACGAUGCGUAGCCGACCUGAGAGGGUGAUCGGCCACAUUGGAACUGAGACACGGUCCAGACUCCUACGAGAGGCAGCAGUAGGGAAUCUUCCGCAAUGGGCGAAAGCCUGACGGAGCAACGCCGCGUGAGUGAUGAAGGUCUUCGGAUCGUAAAACUCUGUUAUUAGGGAAGAACAAAUGUGUAAGUAACUAUGCACGUCUUGACGGUACCUAAUCAGAAAGCCACGGCUAACUACGUG